UAAAUACUUAUUUUCUCUAUUAUUUGAGCAUCUUUUGGUUGCAAGUAACAAUAAUUGACUAUGUCUCAAGCAAAGACAGGAAAGAUAAGAGAAGUGUCAGAAAAUUCAGGAAUCGGAAGAGCAAUGAGGACACCGCAGCAAGGAUUUUUCUCUGCAGCACAGAUGUGUUCAGACACAGUGCGGACCAGGUGGAGACCCAUCCACGAGGCUCACCGUGGCCAAGGGGUAGAUGGUGUGGUGGACACUGAGCUGCUGGAGUCUGUUGUGGACAGUCAGGUGGGUGGGGAGUCACUGAAAUUCUUUGACAAAAUGGAAGAAUGUGAGGG
rnacentral:lncRNA from 1 species